GAGCCCCGAGACGCGGGACUCCCACCCCGCGGGUCGCUCCCGGCAGGCGCUGACUGUGCGAGCCGCAGCGGCCCCUGCAGGCGGAGCCCGGCGCGCCCAGGCCGGAGGCGGGGCGCGGGGCGGCAGCCUCCCAGCCAGCCCUGCGACCUCGGGCCCGGGCUGACCUGCUGUCGACUCGGGGCGAAAGGGGUGGACCAGGAUAGAUGGCGCUGGGCCCGCUCCCACGUGGGGCGGAGGCAGGAGCGCGGCGGGCCUGGGCCGGGCGGUGCGGUGCGGGGACGGGGUUCCAGAGCUGCGGGGUGACCUCCGGAGACCAAGGCAGCGCCUGGCCGGACUGACCCCGCUCACCCUUCCUCCGAAGAGGAACCCUGGGUUUGGCUUUUUUUUUUUAAUCUUGAGGUGUUUUCCCCCUUAAUAUUAAAUCCUAAAGGAAAUAGACAUUCAAGUUCCCUGUCCGUAGGGAAUUAUAAUCCUGGGCAAAAGAAAAAGAAAUAUUUCUCUAUGAUAAACACAGUAUCUCAAUAAGAAUUGAGAACUUUUCCCACUGACUUAAAUCCUGGGAAAGGAAAGGGGGAAAUGGAGUAUAAGGGAAGCUGAAAGGCAAACUUUAUCGUCCUCAUGAUUUUUGCCAAGAGUUGGCUCAUCCUGUUGAUGUUCAGAAGAGAAGCUGUAACACCCAAAGCAAGAACUCAGCGUGGUUUGUCUACGCUUAUGAAAUCGUUGAAUCUCUGGCCUGUCCCAGCAUGUUAACUGGAUUGGGCUGUUGGAAGUUCUGUGAUGUGGCUGCUUAUGACAAUAACCCAGGCUAGUUAAAGAAGGCUAGGAGGCAAUAAGAUCUUCCUUCUGUUAAUACAGUCACUACAGCUGUUAUAGAAAGAUCACCUGCUCUGUGGGGAAGCCAGUUGCCAUGUCAUAAGAACACUCAAGCAGCCCUUUAGAGAGACCCAAGUGGUAAAAAACUGAGGUCUCCUGACAAGAGGCAGGGAAAAAAAAAUUUCUUGCCGACAGGCAUGUGAAUAAGCCAUCUUGGAAGAAGAUUCUCCUGCCCCAGUCAGGCUUCAGAUGAUCACAGCCCCAGCUGACGUCUUGACCACAACUUCAUGCAAGAGCCACCCAGCUAAGUCAUUCCCAAAGUCCUGUUCCACAGAGACUGUGAAAUAAUAAAAUAGUGUUUGCAAAUAUCUUUUCCCAUUAUGCAUCUUGUCUUUUCACUCAUCUUAAGAUGUGUUUUCUUUUUUAAUAAACUGAAGUUCUUAACAAUGUAUUCCAGUUUAUCAAUCGUUUCUUCUAUGGG